GCAUUUGCAUAUAUUCUGUGGACAGCCAUCUAACUGUAUAUGCUUACCUGAUUAUUAUUUUAUUAUGCAAAAGAGAAAAAUAAUUGCAAGGGAUUGUGGGGUUUAUAAUCCCGUAUUUCUUAGUAGCAAUUACUACUACUGGUCUAUGCUAAGUUUGUAUGCUAAUGGGUCAUCUAAUAUUUAGCAGGUCAUGCAGAAUCAAGA
rnacentral:misc_RNA from 1 species